rnacentral:rRNA from 2 species
UACGUAGGGUACUAGCGUUGUCCGGAAUUAUUGGGCGUAAAGAGCUCGUAGGUGGUUUGUCGCGUCUGCUGUGGAAACGUGCCGCUUAACGGUGCGCGUGCAGUGGGUACGGGCGGACUAGAGUGCAGUAGGGGAGUCUGGAAUUCCUGGUGUAGCGGUGAAAUGCGCAGAUAUCAGGAGGAACACCGGUGGCGAAGGCGGGACUCUGGGCUGUUACUGACGCUGAGGAGCGAAAGCAUGGGGAGCGAACAGG